GACGAACGCUGGCGGCGUGCUUAACACAUGCAAGUCGAACGGAAAGGCCCUGCUUUUGUGGGUUGCUCGAGUGGCGAACGGGUGAGUAACACGUGAGUAACCUGCCCUUGACUUUGGGAUAACUUCAGGAAACUGGGGCUAAUACCGGAUAGGAGCUCCUGCUGCACGGUGGGGUUUGGAAAGUUUCGGCGGUUGGGGAUGGACUCGCGGCUUAUCCGCUUGUUGGUGGGGUAGUGGCUUCCCAAGGCUUUGCCGGGUCGCCGGCCUGAGAGGGUGACCGGCCACAUUGGGACUGAGGUACGGCCCAGACUCCUACGGGAGGCAGCAGUGGGGAAUAUGACACAAUGGGCGGAAGCCUGAUGCAGCAACGCCGGGUGCGGGAUGACGGCCUUCGGGUUGUAAACCGCUUUCGCCUGUGACGAAGCGUGAGUGACGGUAAUGGGUAAAGAAGCACCGGCUAACUACGUG
rnacentral:rRNA from 1 species